rnacentral:misc_RNA from 1 species
UCCGAGUUGACCCCGGCGGUCUCCUACGAGUCCCCGCCAUUACGCGCUGGCAACAUAGGACAAGGGUUGCGCUCGUUGCGGGACUUAACCCAACAUCUCACGACACGAGCUGACGACAGCCAUGCACCACCUAUCGCAGGCCCCGAAGGACACCACAUCUCUGUGGCUUUUCCUGCAUAGUUCAACCCAGGUAAGGUUCUUCGCGUUGCAUCGAAUUAAGCAACAUGCUCCGCCGCUUGUGCGGGUCCCCGUCAAUUCCUUUGAGUUUUAGCCUUGCGGCCGUACUCCCCAGGCGGGGUACUUAAUGCGUUAGCUGCGGCACAGAGGACGUUAGUAAUCCCCCACACCUAGUACCCAACGUUUACGGCGUGGACUAC